GCUAUCACUCCAGCCCUAGCACAUAUUGGAAUGAUACAGAGAAGAUUAGCAUGGCCCCUGCACAAGGAUGAUGAAAACACAUGCUUGCAAAAAAAAAAAAAACUUU